rnacentral:rRNA from 1 species
AGUGGCGGACGGGUGAGUAACGCGUGAGAAUCUGGCUUCAGGUUCGGGACAACAGUUGGAAACGGCUGCUAAUACCGGAUGUGCCUUAUGGUGAAAGAUCUAUCACCUGAAGAUGAGCUCGCGUCUGAUUAGCUAGUAGGUGUGGUAAGAGCGCACCUAGGCGACGAUCAGUAGCUGGUCUGAGAGGAUGAUCAGCCACACUGGGACUGAGACACGGCCCAGACUCCUACGGGAGGCAGCAGUGGGGAAUUUUCCGCAAUGGGCGAAAGCCUGACGGAGCAAUACCGCGUGAGGGAGGAAGGCUCUUGGGUUGUAAACCUCUUUUCUCAGGGAAGAAUGAUGACGGUACCUGAGGAAUAAGCAUCGGCUAACUCCGUGCCAGCAGCCGCGGUAAUACGGAGGAUGCAAGCGUUAUCCGGAAUGAUUGGGCGUAAAGCGUCCGCAGGUGGCAAUGUAAGUCUGCUGUCAAAGCGUCUGGCUCAACCAGAUAAAGGCAGUGGAAACUACAUAGCUAGAGUAAGGUAGGGGUAGAGGGAAUUCCUGGUGUAGCGGUGAAAUGCGUAGAGAUCAGGAAGAACACCGGUGGCGAAAGCGCUCUGCUGGACCUUAACUGACACUGAGGGACGAAAGCUAGGGGAGCGAAUGGGAUUAGAUACCCCAGUAGUCCUAGCCGUAAACGAUGGAUACUAGGCGUUGCCCGUAUCGACCCGGGCAGUGUCGUAGCUAACGCGUUAAGUAUCCCGCCUGGGGAGUACGCAGGCAACUGUGAAACUCAAAGGAAUUGACGGGGGCCCGCACAAGCGGUGGAGUAUGUGGUUUAAUUCGAUGCAACGCGAAGAACCUUACCAGGGCUUGACAUGUCCCGAAUCCUCUUGAAA